CGCAAUAUAGCUUAACUAAAGCAUCUCGCUUACACCGAGAAGAUACCUGUGAAAACCAGAUUAUUUCGA
rnacentral:tRNA from 1 species